GAUGAACGCUGGCGGCGUGCUUAACACAUGCAAGUCGAACGGGAAUUACUUUAUUGAAACUUCGGUCGACUUAAUUUAAUUCUAGUGGCGGACGGGUGAGUAACGCGUGGGUAACCUGCCUUAUACAGGGGGAUAACAGUCAGAAAUGGCUGCUAAUACCGCAUAAAGCGCACGGAACCGCAUGGUUCUGUGUGAAAAACUCCGGUGGUAUAAGAUGGACCCGCGUUGGAUUAGCUUGUGCAGGGUAACGCUACCAAGGCGACGAUCCAUAGCCAGCCUGAGAGGGUGAACGGCCACAUUGGGGACCUGGAGACACGGGCCCAGACUCCUACGGGAGGCAGCAGUGGGGAAUAUUGCACAAUGGGGGAAACCCUGAUGCAGCG
rnacentral:rRNA from 1 species